rnacentral:rRNA from 1 species
GUACACGCUGUGACUAGCAUAUCAAUAAGCGGAGGAAAAGAAACUAACAAGGAUUCCCCUAGUAACGGCGAGUGAAGCGGGAAGAGCUCAAAUUUGAAAUCUUAAAGGGUUUCCCUUUACGAAUUGUAGUUUAAAGAAGUGUUUUCUGUUGAGGUUUUGGUAAAAGUUCUUUGGAAUAGGACAUCAUAGAGGGUGAGAAUCCCGUAUUUGACCUUUACUUUCAACUUUGUGAUACACUUUCAAAGAGUCGGAUUGUUUGGGAAUGCAGUCCAAAAUGGGUGGUAAAUUUCAUCUAAAGCUAAAUAUUGGCGAUGAGACCGAUAGCGAACAAGUACCGUGAGGGAUAGAUGAAAAGAACUUUGAAAAGAGAGUUAAACAGUACGUGAAAUUGUCAAAAGGGAAGCGUUUGACACCAGUGUUGUUUUUCUGAAAAUCAAUUAAAGAACUGUUUAUGCUAAGUUGUUUGGACUUUAUCAGCUAACUGUUUAGUUUUGAGCUUUUCUUUAAUGCACUUUUCAGUUAACAAGUCAACAUCAAUUUCUUUUGCUGUAAAAAAGCUUGAGGAAGGUGGCUUGAGAUUCGUCUUAAGUGUUUAUAGCCUCUUGCCUAUGCAGUCGGAGAGAUUGAGGUCUGCAGCGUAGAUCCUUCGGGGCUAAAUGCAUUUGUGCUAAGUUAUAGCAUUUUAUAGACAACUUGUUGACUAUGAUUUGUCUUGUAGCUUACUCGCAUAUGUUAUUUUACCUACGCUUAGGAUGUUGACGCGCGUGUGUGCGUG